UACGGGAGGCAGCAGGGGGAAUAUUGCACAAUGGGCGCAAGCCUGAUGCAGCCAUGCCGCGUGUAUGAAGAAGGCCUUCGGGUUGUAAAGUACUUUCAGUCGUGAGGAAGGUGUUAAGGUUAAUAACCUUAGCAAUUGACGUUAGCGACAGAAGAAGCACCGGCUAACUCCGUGCCAGCAGCCGCGGUAAUACGGAGGGUGCGAGCGUUAAUCGGAAUUACUGGGCGUAAAGGGCACGCAGGCGGUUAAUUAAGUUGGAUGUGAAAUCCCCGGGCUUAACCUGGGAAUGGCAUUCAAGACUGGUUAGCUAGAGUCUUGUAGAGGGGGUAGAAUUCCAUGUGUAGCGGUGAAAUGCGUAGAGAUGUGGAGGAAUACCGGUGGCGAAGCGGCCCCUGGGACAAAGACUGACGCUCAUGUGCGAAAGCGUGGGGAGCAAACAGGGAUUAGAUACC
rnacentral:rRNA from 1 species